CGGAGGGUUGCAGAUGGACUUCAGAUGUGGGAUCAGGGGAAGAGUCUACUUGAGGAAAGGCAUCUUGGCAGAGGCCAAAGUCAAGGGUGGAACCUUGCCGCAUCCUCCAGAGGGAACAGACACUGUGUCCUGACACAGAAGAAGAAUGGAAGAGGCCCUGAGAGGAAGGUCCUUGUGCAAGUGAUCGGUGAGGAUGGGCUCCCAGAAGAAACUGGCCCCAGGAAUGCGGAAGGCAGGCUGGGGAACGGAAGAAACCAAAUGACGCUGUGACUGAAAUGAAGUUUACAAGGCAGAGACUUUGCAUCCUCAUCCAUGUUCUUCACCAGAUAUGGGACCGUGGGGCUUCUGGCUCUUCCUCAAUGUCAAAAUGACCAUGAAAGGUGCAAGACAAGGAAAACUUCACUCUGGAAGGCCAACCCUCUGUCAAGGAACCAUAGACUUCUCCAGAUAGACCAGGAAGAGGCAUCCUCAGCAAGAAGAACGUGGACAUUUCUUGAGCCUCUCACAAAAUGGCAUUAAAAUGGACAUCAUUUUCAAUGAUCCAAACAUUGUA